CGGCAGGCGGGCAGCAGCCGCCCCUCCCAGCCCACCAGCUGGCCACUAAAAGCUCCCGGUUGCCAAGGGUGGCUUCUCGUUUGCACAAGGGCACGAUCCUCUCCUUUUCUGCAUAAAUACGGUGACGAGGCUGCUCCUGCUCUCACCCUGCUGCUGAACUUCCACUCUCAACAGCAAUCCCAUCUUCACGAGAGCAUCAGUUGGACACUGAACAUACCUAACCAUGACUGAAAAUAUCUCUCCACAUAGAAUUGGAAAUAUGGCCCAACUGCCAGUCUCACAACUACCUUGGUUGAGUAGGACUUGGAAGCUUCUAAGCUGGGUACAGCUAGGGCCUGCCCUUGCAGUGCAGAAUUCUUCCAGUGGCCGAUGAGCUCUGCCCUCCAUGUGAUUGUGUCACACUGGAGCGCUGCAAGUUUAUUUAUGCUCUGGGAAUGAUUAACUAUAAAAUAGUGUUAGUUGCAACUAA